rnacentral:rRNA from 1 species
GAUGAACGCUGGCGGCGUGCCUAAUACAUGCAAGUCGAGCGAACAGAUAAGGAGCUUGCUCCUUUGACGUUAGCGGCGGACGGGUGAGUAACACGUGGGUAACCUAUCUAUAAGACUGGAAUAACUCCGGGAAACCGGGGCUAAUGCCGGAUAACAUGUUGAACCGCAUGGUUCUACAGUGAAAGGCGGCUUUGCUGUCACUUAUAGAUGGACCCGCGCCGUAUUAGCUAGUUGGUGAGGUAACGGCUCACCAAGGCAACGAUACGUAGCCGACCUGAGAGGGUGAUCGGCCACACUGGAACUGAGACACGGUCCAGACUCCUACGGGAGGCAGCAGUGGGGAAUCUUCCGCAAUGGGCGAAAGCCUGACGGAGCAACGCCGCGUGAGUGAUGAAGGUCUUCGGAUCGUAAAACUCUGUUAUUAGGGAAGAUCAAAUGCGUAAGUAACUGUGCGCGUCUUGACGGUACCUAAUCAGAAAGCCACGGCUAACUACGUG